rnacentral:rRNA from 1 species
UACGAAGGGGGCUAGCGUUGCUCGGAAUUACUGGGCGUAAAGGGCGCGUAGGCGGAUAUUUAAGUUAGAGGUGAAAGCCCAGGGCUCAACCCUGGAAUAGCCUUUAAUACUGGAUAUCUUGAGUUCGGGAGAGGUGAGUGGAACUCCGAGUGUAGAGGUGAAAUUCGUAGAUAUUCGGAAGAACACCAGUGGCGAAGGCGACUUACUGGACACAUAUUGACGCUGAGGUGCGAAAGCGUGGGGGAGCAAACAGG